rnacentral:rRNA from 1 species
UAGGGAAUCUUCGGCAAUGGUGGGAACCCUGACCGAGCAACGCCGCCUGAGUGAAGAAGGUUUUCGGAUCGUAAAGCUCUGUUGUUAAGGAAGAACGAGUGUGAGAAUGGAAAGUUCAUGCUGUGACGGUACUUAACCAGAAAGGGACGGCUAACUACGUGCCAGCAGCCGCGGUAAUACGUAGGUCCCGAGCGUUGUCCGGAUUUAUUGGGCGUAAAGCGAGCGCAGGCGGUUAGAAAAGUCUGAAGUGAAAGGCAGUGGCUCAACCAUUGUAGGCUUUGGAAACUGUUUAACUUGAGUGCAGAAGGGGAGAGUGGAAUUCCAUGUGUAGCGGUGAAAUGCGUAGAUAUAUGGAGGAACACCGGUGGCGAAAGCGGCUCUCUGGUCUGUAACUGACGCUGAGGCUCGAAAGCGUGGGGAGCGAACAUG